AUUGAACGCUGGCGGCAGGCCUAACACAUGCAAGUCGAACGGUAACAGGAAGAAGCUUGCUUCUUUGCUGACGAGUGGCGGACGGGUGAGUAAUGUCUGGGAAACUGCCUGAUGGAGGGGGAUAACUACUGGAAACGGUAGCUAAUACCGCAUAACGUCGCAAGCCCAAAGGGGGGGACCUUCGGGCCUCUUGCCAUCGGGUGUGCCCAGCUGGGAUUAGCUAGUAGGUGGGGUUACGGCUCACCUAGGCGACGAUCCCUAGCUGGUCUGAGAGGAUGACCAGCCACACUGGAACUGAGACACGGUCCAGACUCCUACGGGAGGCAGCAGUGGGGAAUAUUGCACAAUGGGCGCAAGCCUGAUGCAGCCAUGCCGCGUGUAUGAAGAAGGCCUUCGGGUUGUAAAGUACUUUCAGCGGGGAGGAAGGGAGUAAAGUUAAUACCUUUGCUCAUUGACGUUACCCGCAGAAGAAGCACCGGCUAACUCCGUG
rnacentral:rRNA from 1 species